UCAUUACCGCUGGUAGGACAUGGAGUGCCACACUUGUUACACUCAUUUCUUCUGGCAAAGUUCACGUUCCCACAACUACCACAACAAAUAAUAUAGCAUAAAAAUAUAUAACAAAUCAGAAUCAUAUGAAACCUAACAAUCAACAGAAGUAUAUUUGAAUGAAAACAGAAAUUUAUCCUCUAAAGCAAAUAGAAUACCUUUCAUUAGGGCAACGCCAAUCUCCAUCUCUGCCACUUCCACCUCCACCGCGGCCACCACGGCCACCACCACCUCUACCACCGCGAUCUCCGCCUUGAAAUCCACCACCA
rnacentral:lncRNA from 1 species